ACGGAGGUUGCGAGCGUUGUUCGGAAUGACUGGGCGUAAAGGGAGCGCAGGCGGUUCGGCAAGUCUAAAGUGGAAGCCCGGGGCUUAACCUCGGAAGUGCUUUGGAUACUGCCGCACUCGAGUUCGUGAGAGGAAAGCGGAAUUCCAGGUGUAGCGGUGAAAUGCGUAGAUAUCUGGAGGAACACCGGUGGCGAAAGCGGCUUUCUGGCACGAUACUGACGCUGAGGCUCGAAAGCAUGGGGAGCGAACGG
rnacentral:rRNA from 1 species